UACAGUAAUGAUACAAUGCAAUACAACAUGAUGUUAUGGAUGUUAAAUGUUUUAGUUGGAGUUAGUUCCAAUGGCUUUCACCAUCGGUUUCUCCCGAUGUUUCUGCUGGGAUUGACUCCACUGAUUUUUUUUUUUGAUUUCCAUUCGUGUUGCCGAUGUAUGUUUGAUGAAGAUAUACUGAGAUGUUUUCUAUAUAUGUGAUGGGGAUGAUGUUCUGAAAUUACCAGACCUUCUUGAUGUCUAUGCUAAUAGUUUACAAUGGUGCCUACCCUGCUGGUAGUUGACAA
rnacentral:lncRNA from 1 species